ensembl:lncRNA
GCUCGGCCCGCGGCGGAGGGCGAAGUCGGGCGCUCGGUCGUGAUUCAGCGCUUCUGUUUUUAACCGGCCCGUGCCCGGUUCGGUGUCGCGGGGAUGAAGGGCUCCCAGCGCCGCGCCGGUGCCUCGUUGGGCGUUCGGAGCGAACGUGAGGUAAUUUCUGCUUUUUGGUUGGUUCUUUUUUUGUUGUUGUUGUUGUUUUUGUUUUUUUUUUUUUCCUUCAGGCUUUGCGCUCGGAGGGAAAACCCGGUUUAAAACGAAAGCCCCUCCGCAGCGCUUUCCCCACCUCCCGCGCACGCUGUGGUGGAGAGAGGGGCAGAACGGCGGUGUUUCCCUUUGGACGACGAGCGCCGGCUGACGGCCCGCCGCCCCCAGGCACUGCCACGGCACCACAGAUGGCCUCAGCUGUGCCGGGGAAGGAACGGGUUGGGUGUCAGGAAGCGUUUCUUGCCACAAAGACCAGUGGUGCUGUCAGCGCUGGGCACCUGCGUGAGGAAACGCCGGCGCAGGUAAUGAAGCAAUCUGAGCUGACAGAGGUAGGCACACAAACGUGUCACCCAGGAGGAGGGCUGAUGGAGUCGUCCUUUACCUACACUGGUUGCCAGAGAGCUCUGGGAUGUGCUGAGUGGAGUUCCUGCACCGUGCGUACCCGCGCUCUUUGUGUCAGGCUGUAGGUGCCUGAGCCAAGCCAAUAACUCCCUCACCAGCACUACAAAUUUUAGCCAAUUAGUCAUUACACCACAUCUGAGAAGCGGGUUAGUUUAACUCUUCUCAUUUUGCAUAGGAAGGAGGCAGGAGGGUUAGGGGACUGGCCCAAGGCCAUGAAGAGCAGUGCUCAGAGCCGAGCCUAGAAAGCAGACUUCUUGUUUCCCACGCCUACGUUUCAGCAACUAGACUUGGCUUGCCUACCUCAGAAAAUAGGCUGGCAUAGCUAUAGCUGUGUAAUUACACCGUUACCGUUAUGCCGGAAUAACCCUCCUUGUGGACGCUCUCCUCCAGAUGGAAAGUGACUUCCCAAAAGCUGUCCAAAUGAAUUCGCUGAACAGCAAACACUUUAUGUUUUUUGCACUUUUUUUUUCCCUUUUUUUUUCCACCGUGGGGUCAAAAUUCCCAAGAUGGCAGGUCUGGGCGGCUCUCGAUAGCUCUUACAAGGCAUUGGAAAGCAUGGGUAAAUGUAAAAGGUGUCGUUGAAAUGCUGGAAGUUUUGUCGUCAAGAUUUUUUAUGAUGCUUUUCAUCAAAAUGUUGAAAGCUGAAAGCUUCCAGCUGGCUCUCCUUACAGGUAAUAAUUUAAUAACUAACAGCUUUUCUCCCAAAGCUGUUGGAACCAGCUUGAGUCAUGGAAGCUGAUGGGAAACGCCAGACCCGUCCUCUACAGUAAUUAUUUCUGGUUUUAAUCCCGCUGCUCCAUAAGCUUUCAAAACCAAAUGAAACUGUGAAAACAGGCAAGAGUGACCAAGGGAAAAGCAGGGGACAGGCACUAACCUGAAAGGGUUCACCCUUAAAAAUUAAUCUGUUAAGUGCGAAGACUGCAGAGAUGAGAGCAUCUUCACCACAGCAGCAUGGGCAUAGGGUGAAUCACUGGUUUCAUUGCAAAAUUCAGCUCUGCCACAGCUCAGGGGCUGCAGAGAGAGCUCCAGUGAUUUCCAUCAACCACGCAACUGCCCCCAGGUUACACUCUCUGGAGCAGCUGUGGCGACCUUGAGGCUCAAGUGGUGGUUUAGGGAUCAGGACACCAGUGUUCACAUCCAGCCGUGGACAGAGGUCCUCUGUGUGAUUUCAACCAAGUCAUCAUUCCUCUACGUUUCAGUUCUGUUUUUAAAUUGCAGCAAAUAAUGCAACAAGGGUUUUAUUUUUUCAUCUGAGCAAUAGCCUGAAAGCACUUCUCAGCUUUGCCGCAGACUUCUGCCACACUACAGAAGCUGCUUGGGGCAAAUCUUAUAGAGAGCCAUUUCUGGAGCUCCUUUCCCCUCUGUUUCCAUCCAUGAGACCUAAGCAGCCCUCACACAGCCAUGCCUGCUCUAGACAGCGCUCUGCCACAACAGCCCAGCUGCCCAGGGGACAGCCACCCAGUCCUCAGACUUGUCGUGUCCCCAGGGUAACCACAGGCCUCAGUUCUCCUUUGUUCUGUUGGAUGCAACAGAGCUGCCCCAUUUAACAGGGAGGCCGGGAGGAGAAAUUAAUGCCUUAUUGCUCAUCAGUAACAUGUUUCGAUAGGUCAGUGAUGGGCUCAGCCUGUUUCAGUGUAGUAUUUAACUAUAUAUAUGCAUUUAACUUGUGUGUGUAUGCCUUCACACGUUAAUAUUCAAAACAGCCAAAAAGGCUUUUUAUAUCAAUUCUGGUCUGAAUGAUCUGGUUGAUACUAUUUUGUGUGCUUUUAUAAGGUCAAAGUGUUCUAGGAGUUAGCUCCCCCAAGACCUGUGUUAGGUAUCCACAUAAAUAAUAGCUUAUUGCUGCAAAAGCUCCAGGUUUUUUUAGGUUUAGGAAGUUAAAAAAAGGCAUAUCUACUACACUGCUACCUUGGACAGCUAUGAACACCACUGAGCAAUGGACCUCCGGGUCAGCUUUCAUGCCUUUAGACUGAACCCUCUCUUUUCUAACCAAGAAGGGGUACUUUGAUGACAAAUUGGAUCGAAUCCCAAUAUACUUUGAACAGGACAAAUGUAGACCUUUCUUUACUUAACUGUGUCGGGCAAUCUACAACCAUAUAAGCACUAAUCUAUUCAGUAUUCCAUCUCCUCCUCUCUACUACAAAAAGGCACUGUUUUAUGCUUAUAUGCACCAAUAAAGAGACCUAUAAAGAAAAUAAUGAACAUCCUUGAAUAUUUUCAGGCCAUACCCUAUUAAUUUUAAAAGCGACUCAACAUACUGCACCCCUUGUAUUUCAGGAAGAUAAAAGCCUAUAGAUUAAUUCCUAUUAAAACAGUUGGUAUUUUCAGGACAUGCAGAUGUAAUUUAUGGAGAGGCACAAUGCUCAUAAUAGCUCAAAGGCCACAGAAACUGUAGAUCUGUGUCUGUUACUGUAGUUGUACAGGCAUUCAUUGUACAGAGAGCAGUUGAAAAGACGGAGUAUGUAAUCUGAAUACUAAACUUGUGAAUAGUUUCUCACUUGGGCUGGUUGGGCUUUUCAAGAGCAGCGGAUGCUUUGUGGGGGACUUUGUAAGACAUUCUGCUAAUACAUCACGUGGUUGCUGUAUUUUCUUCUCUUAUCGUUACUGUUAGAGCUUUAUUCAUGAAUGCACAGUAUUUGAUUAUUAGAAGGGCAGGAGCUCCCGCUCUGUGCUCUCCACCUGAAUUCAGUGUGCUCCGUGUGAGACAGUUUCCACAACAAAUUCUGCUUCUUUCUAUAAAGCGAGCAACUUGAGGUACAUGUAAACCAAAAGUGUGCAAGAGAUCAAGAUUCCUCCCCUCCCCAGGUACUCCGAUUGCUGCAUUCAUGUUACUUGGAGAAUAGUAUCGUAUUUUAUGUUUUAUUAUCAACAAUAAAAGUGUACAGGUUUUCUAUUUUAUUAUGGAGAUAUAAAUGUAUAUGGAUGCAUCACUUACGAGGUAGGGAGAUUCUGAAGUGUCCUAACAACUUUUAAUUAUGACACAGGCUACUAAGUGUGGAUAUUUGAGGCUGGGUUCAUCUCUAUUCUUUGCACAGCCCCUAGCAUAGUGCGGAUUUAUUCAUGACCUAGCAUCCCACUUCACCAAAAUUAAGAGUCAAACUCUACUUCGCUUAUGACCAGAAAUCUCAAUACCAGCAGAACUGAAUACACCCAACAUUGAAUGGGGAACAACACAGUAGUUCAAAAGUAUGGUGGACCACUUAAUUUACUGGAGGAUGGAGGCAUUUAGGCAAUUGCUGCCCAGGUUGAAAGUUGGUAAAAAUUACAGGUGUCAGUUUGGUUUAGCACUGCAAAGAACCAGGGAACAUCCAAUGACAAAUGACCAUACCCAUGGCUUUGCAACAUUUAAACAUUUGGUGGGAAUGGAGUCCUCCUUACGUUUCUCUUUGACAGAAUCAACGUGAAUCCCAAAAGGUCAAAUGCCUUCAAUUAGGUUUGAAAGGGCUUCUGUAGAAAAGAAGACAUUUAUAAACACCUUCCUUGGUGCUACCAAAUUAGGCUGCAAACAGCAUGGGAACAGGCCUUUUGAGGCUCAGCCCCAUAUCAUCAUCAUAGAAUCAUCAUAGCAUGGACUGGGUUGAAAAGGACCACAAUGAUCAUCCAGUUUCAACCCCCCUGCUAUGUGCAGGGUCGCCAACCACCAGACCAGGCUGCCCAGAGCUACAUCCAGCCUGGCCCUGAAUGCCUCCAGGGAUGGGGCAUCCACAACCUCCUUGGGCAACCUGUUCCAGUGUGUCACCACCCUCUGGGUGAAGAACUUCCUCCUCAUAUCCAAGCUAAACCUCCCCUGUCUCAGUUUAAAACCAUUCCUUCUUGUCCUGUCACUGUCCACCCUCGUAAACAGCUGUUCCCCCUCCUGUUUAUACUCUCCCUUCAAGUAUAGCAUAACUACAUUCGUAGUUCUCAUUCUUUGUGAAAGACAGAACAGAUAAAGACACCCAAUGCUUACAUAUCUGAACUUGUAAGGAGUUCUUCUCUGAAACUUAGCAAAAGUUUGAGGGAUAAGAACAUGUUCUUGAAUCCAACCUGCCUCUCAGAGGGCAGCAUGCACCAGUGGCCCCUUGGAGUCCAGAAGCCCCAUGGAAAUGCCGAGCCAGCAAGGCAGGAACCUCAUCAUCCAGGGCAUGCCGUGCAGCCCCAUAAAGUCAGCAUAGAUUUGCUGGGAUGUACUUCAUUAUCGCUAGUUCUUGGCCCUUCCCCUUCACCACUUUUCCAGCAUCGUGCUGGUGCUUUAGAAAGCCAAGGACAGGUUGUGGGGCAUCUUCCAGGCUGACACCAACUCCUGAAGGCAUGUGGAUGUGCUGUGGUCUGAUUCAGGGGAGCAGGGCAGGGGUCAGUCCCCUCUGCCCCAUUCACGUCUGAUCAGCUCUGCUCAGUGCAAUGCAGUGACUCAGUGCAAGCUCCUCGAUGUGAAGAACCACAUCUGCGGUGAGCACAGGGCGUGAAGAGCUGCCAUCCAAACCAGUCUGUCGAUCACUGCAGAAACAGUAUGUUGUCAGAGUCUCAUGAGUAAUGAAGGCAGAGCAUAAAAUUGUCUGAAAAAACCAGAAACGCCCAGCUCUCCACCUCCUGAAGAGGCACAGUUGAGCCAAAGCCUUACGCUGUCUUAUCUCAGAGGUGAAGCACAGCGUGGAGACUGACCAUAAGCCUGGAUAACUGCAUUCAGUUCUGGAGAAGGAUGUUCAUCUCCCCCUCCAUUUACUCAGCAAUAGGCACCUUGUUUGGCCUCGUAUUUCCAGGCUGCAUCUGAAGUCCAUGGAAAAAGAUUGACCCAUCCAGGCUGCAACUCCAAGCACCAAAAUUAAAUUCCACAGAGGAGCGUUUCCUUCCCCAGUGACUACAGAAGGAAGCUGGAGAAGUCAGCUGGGCUAAACUGCAUUUAAAAUGGGUGAAUAUCCUUGUUUGUACUUCAAGUUCAUCACCUAGAAAAUGAAAAUGAUGAUAUUUUGUCUCCUCUGUCAACUCUGCUAAAAAUCAGGAAUGCCUCAGGGAAAGGGCAGGGACUUGGCUAUGGAUCUGAUGGAGGCCCUGCGAGUGGAUAGUCCAGAAUGUUUUUAAAGGAGGGCUUUUGUGUGCCUCCUUUGUGCCCAUAAGGGUCGUCAUACCAGUGUCCUGGUGUUGGUGAAGAUAAUUAACUGGCCAGAUAAUCGCUUUUGAAGUGGAUGCAGGUUAACUUUGAUUAACCACAGGCAACAAUUUAGAUAAUUAAAAUAAAACAUUAGCAUCUUUUUACUCUGCUGCCAGUGUUACAUUAAACAGUGUUUGACCACAGCCUUUAAGAGCUGUGUAUUCGUUUUUACUGGAACAAUCUGCUGCCUCCCUCCAGCAACAGAACUGAUACAGGUUUUUUUUUUCAGAUUGUUUUGCCCGGUGGUAAGGAUUUCUUAAUUUCUCACUUUUAUGUGCUCUUAUUUUACUCCAGUAAAGAAACAACAUUUCUCUACACCUAGACAUUACCCACACAUAACUGUGCAAGCAAAGAAAACACAACUUCAUUCUCGUGGUUUGAAAAUGCAUCUUUUUCCCUGGUUGUUUGUUUUUAAGAGGGCGGUGUUUGCAUUUUCUAGUUCUCCUUAGGGUGUUCAAAUCAAUGAAGACAUCAGUAGGUCCCUCUAUGACAAAUAUAGUCUUUUCCUCCUGGCUUCUGCUAGUGCACUGCAAUUCUUUCUGAGAUCUGGAAGAACAAAUGCUGCUUUUUGUUUGUUAACAGCACUGGGGAUUCUUCUAAUUAAGAUUUUGGGUGGUGGAACGAUGGCUGAAGAUGUCAUGGUAGGCCUGAGCUUAUAGUACUACUGACUUCAGCUGAAAAGAAGCAAUCUAACAUCUACAGUGAAAAAUAAAGACUCAGAGUUUAUAGGGCUAUAAUCAGGACAUAGAUAAAUAAAUAAAUAGAACCUUGCAGAUAUUAAGAUCAUCACUUUUGUCUUAAAAAUUCUUCUCUGAAUUGCUUGGGUCACACUGCUGAAGAGUGCUUCCCAGAACAGAACUGCCCUGAUGCAAAACAUUCACAGAGUUUAUAGUGAGGCCAUACAGAAGUACUGGGUCUCGACUUACUGCAUGAGGAAGCUGAAUGCCUCUGGUAGGAGCUUGUUGCUGUUUUGGGUUUGCUGGCUUAGUUUUUAAUUCAAAGGGGGUAUAAUUUUGUGUUCAGCUCCAAAGUUUGGUUUAAAAUAGCAUUGAAAAUGACCCUUAAAAUAUGAAGAUGUUUUUCCAUGGACACUGUAUCCACAGCAGCCAUAGGACUUUAUCGCUGAUUUGAUUACAAAGCGACUUCCACACUGUACUGAGUUGCCUUCAUUGGCUGACAACAAAAUCAUGACUCUGGCAAGGUUACUGCUGCAGGUUCUUGCAAGGGUUUUGCACAUUUGCACGUAUGCCCUUUUGAAAUAAAGCAUUCAUCUGUCUGCAGAUGGUGGCUUCUUCUUGAUGAAAGAUCUCCGUUGAAAAAUCCUCACUUAGUUGUCAUCAACCUAAAGUUGGAGGUACCGAAAGAGGAACAGUUGAGACUUCCCUACGAUGUAAUAUUUGUGACUGCUCAAAGCAGAUUGAGACAUGCUAAAAAGGACGAAAAACAAAAUACCAAACCAUGGGGCUGACCUCCUCAGCACAGAAAGGUUUUUCUCCUGCUGAUUUUUUCCACUUCAAGAAGUAGUUUCUUCCUUUAGACAAGGGAAGCUCCAUCAGCUCUUUCAUAGAGCAAAACUGACACCCACUGGCCACCCCCAGUACUUGAGACACGGUGAGCUAGUGAGCAAGCCUUGCCUCAGGGCAGAGCCGAAGAAAGGAAAGAGGAAAGAACCUUCUGGUGCAUCUCAGCCCUUCUUCCUUACAAUGGACGACAUCAACAUGGCCAGCAGUAGUCCCCAAACCCCUCUGCCACAAAGUGAGAUGAUGCAUGGCACGAUGCUCGAGCUCCCCUUCAUUCCUUUGGCGUGUCGUGAGGGAUUGGUCAAACAAAUGCCUCCUACAUGACAAAAUGCCUUUCAAGGUGGACCGGCUUUACUAACCUUUUUUUAAUCACUGAAAUUCAGGGUGAGAUUUCACGUGGUCAGUCUCGGCCUUGCUGUGCUUAUAGUCUGCUGUGCUUCCCUGCAUGAGUUGUUUGCCAUCAGCCAUCCGCGUGCUUUAUGCCACUCAGACGGAGACUGACUUAAUUCUCCUCCCAUGUAGGUCUCACUCCUCUGCGUCCCAGAUUUCUCUGUGCAGUUCUCAUUCCUCUUCACUGUCACCUCUGAUCACUGCACCUCUGUUAGCAAGGCUCCCAAAGAUAAUAUUUCCAACCAAGCACGGGCUCUGUGCUGUGUGUGAGAAGACGUGUCCCUUUCUGCCUCCUUGUCACAGCACAGCCCAAAUCACAUUGCCAUUUAUACUUUUAUUUUUCAAUUGCAUUGCAUGCUUCUGUCUGAUUUGCUACCCACUUAGGUACUUUCAACAUGAUUGCCUCUUAAGUAGCUCCUUCCUACCGAAUAUCUUUGUUUUAGAUUGUAUUUAUCUCCUCAUGGAGAACUUCAAUCUUCCCAGAGAUCCAAUCUAAUUCUUUUAUUUCCUCCACAUGUCAUAUAUCAUCAUGUGCUACCCUCUGGUAUUACUUCUUGCUCUCAUCUGCUCUUUCAAACUCUUCUCCACCCUGCUACAUGUUACUGAUUUCAUGCAGUACAUUAUCUUCUACAUGGAACGUGUCGCUUUGCCGAACGGUACAUUAUUGUACUUCAUGUAACCAGUGUGCCCUUUUACGCCUGCACGAUCACUUUGCACUUUAGCUAUUUUAAACAUCAUGGUAGUACAUUAUUCAAAAUUUAAGGCAUGGUGUCUCUAAAGCGCUGUUCUGUUCCUUAUCACAGCUUCCAGGCAGUACAGAGUAGCCUCAGCUGUUAAACAGGGAAGGAUUUUCUUUUUCCAACGCUAAGCAUCUUCAGCCCAUGCACUUUUCUCCCUGCCUGUCCCACUGAGCUGCCUCAGCCUGCAGGGAGGAAGGAGCUGGGGUAAGCUGUGCUCACCUUUUCUGAAUGCUCACCCGCUUAGAUCUUCUCAUGAGGGCUUUCAAGGAUAGGCAAACUAUGCUCUUAUUUCAAAUAAUUAUUUUUGGAGCCUGCCAACAGAGACCAGCACUCUGACUUCAUCUUACAUUUUCAAUUUUAAUUUCUCCGGGUGAGUGAAGCAUCACCUUGCAUGGCUUUAGAGGAACUUGAUGAAGUUACAAGAUUAUUCAGUGAUGCUUAAUAGCUGUUUAAUUAACAAUUUGCAGCCAACACGCAACAGCAGCUUCUGUAGUGUGAACAGAGGCCAUGGUAUUGCUCCAUAUCUACUGUAAUGCUAUUUACACCCACGUCAGCCUCAAAAGCUUGUUCUCAGCCAUGGCCUGACUUCAGGACAGGCUGCAUCCUGAGCUGUGGAUAUGACUGACAUUUGAGGGAAUCAACCAAAGUUGUUGGAGCCAUUCAUUGUCACACACCCAGCAUAAAUAUUCAAAGGGAGAACACUCCCCCCGCCACCCUUGACUUUCCAAGUCCAACUGCUUUGAAUUGGUCCUGCCAUUUGCAAGACUCAGUUCUGAAGCAUCAGCCUGUCAUGGGGAGCCAGCAAGGGACAGGUUGUGAGUCUUGGUUAACAAGCUAAAACUACUCAGGUGAUGGCUGUACAACAUUAGUUGUGAGCACAAGAUACCCUGUGAGAUACCCUUGUCUGACAGUGCAUUUGGGAGCAGCAGGGAAGGAGCUGGAGGGAAAGCCAUAUCCAAGCACUGGUGUAUCUGAAGCCUUCAGCAGAGUUAUCCAUUACUGGAUCUCACUUUGCAUUCCAGGCUUGCCUGAAGUACAGUUUCUCCCCAGCUAAAGCAUGCAGUCUCAUGGACAGAGGAUGAGGAUUGCAGCAUGUGGAGCUCAUUUGUCCCCAGAUGUCACCACUUCACAGCGGUGGAGGGACUGAGGGGACACCUCGCUGCCUCUUUGGGGCAGACAGCCUUCCUGACCACUGAAGUAAAGCAGCAGGUAUCUCCCCCAUGCUUUCCUGAAUGCUCACCUCGAUUCACGCUCUCACAAAUGAUGGAUUUUCUCUGCUGGCUUCCAUUUGAGUAUUCUUUUCCUUAUUAAGACUAGUUUUGACUCUGUGUUGUAGGAUUCCCAGGGAAAAUAAUUCUUUAUGUAGAGGAACCUCAAGUUGUUGGCUUUCAGAUUUCAAUUUUCAAUGAAAUUUCUGAGAAAGAACACAACCCAUUACCAUCCUGAGAAUUUGCUUACUCAGUAUCUGCAAAGAGGCAUUAUAUGCUCCAGCUCUCCGUGUGGAAGCAUGGGAAGAGGCUGUGUUUGCAGCCGUGCAGCACCUAUUUCAAAUGUUCAAUUUUGUGGUUGUGAUUGAAAACAGAGUCCCUGUGCACAAUUCUGGAAGCCCACUGUUUGGAUUGGAGUUACAGUGUGGUAUCUCUGCAAAUUCCCAAGCCCAUACUAAGCAUCUUGUGCUGAUGUAUCGUCUUGAUCUUAAUUAACUUUUUUUUUAAGUAAGCAUCUUAUCUACUCCAGUGAAUCCUGGUGAGAGUUCUGUACUGAACCAUGAACUGUCAGGUUGGUAUGUUACUACACUUCCAUCCACUUUCUUUUACUAAUACUGAGCAAUGUAUCUGCAGCAACAGAAACAGUCAUCUUUCCUAUAUAGCAACAAAAGAUUUGAGGACAGUUCUGAAACUGGAGCCCUUUGCAAAUUUACACCAACACCUUUGCAGGUUUGGAUUCUGAAAAAGCCAUCAGAGGGAAAAAAACCAUCCAAGGUCAGCAAUGCAUGUAUUUCCCUGAGAUCACACUGGUGAAAGUGUUACAGUAAAGUUACAAUGCUCCUGGGUAAAGACUGAUCAUGUACUCUGUACUUUACCAUAUGUUUAUAUAUGUAGUUUAUAUAUGUAGACUGUUGGAUGAGGGUUCCCUGUGAAAUGAGGAACUUCAAGACGCUGAAACCCUGGAAAACAUCAAGGGCUGACAGCUUUCUGAUUGCCCAUACCUUCAGCAAGAUACCUCGGUAUAUGCACAGAAAUCCAGACACCCAGUCUAGACAUGCAAUCCAGACACUUCUUAUAAUUAAUGUGUAUUCUGGGAGGAAAUCCCAAGAGACAGUUCUAGCUGUACUUCCAACGCGAGCUUGUUUAUAGAGUCACAACCAGUAUUUCCAUGAUUUCACCAGCAAUGUUUCUGUCAUGAGACAACUGCUUUGAUAACUGUUAGUUAGAAGCGCAGAUAUUUUCUUCCUGGACGUUGCCUUCCUCUCAGCAAAGUGCAAGAUGUAGACCUUUGCCUUCCAAUUUUCAGGUUUGGGUCCCAGUCAAAUAAGACGCCUCAACCAAGCUCUCCAUUUGCAGUUAGCCCUGCCUAGAAGGUUGGAUCGGAUGAGCUCCAGAAACACAUUUUCCAACCUGAAUUCCUGCACAUACGCACAAGUACUUACUAAUAGUACCUAGUGUUUGCUUUAGGUCUCCCAUGCCCAUCAGAGGAAAAAAGGCUCAAAGACAUUACAGUCCAUAGAUGCAAGAAGCAAUGGAUGUCAGCGUCAGAAAAGGCAGCAGAAGAAUAGGAGAAAUGUGGAAAACAAAACCAACCAUACGAGUUUAUGGUGCCUGAAGACUCGUCCUUUACAAUUUACCUCGGUGGAUUGGAAAAUAGGAGAUCUGAUGGAAUGUUCUCCAUCAAAGCCCCAAACUUUUUGUUUCGCAUUUCGGCUCCUGCCAAACUUGACAAAAGUCUGCCACAAAACGGAAGUCUCCUACUUUUGGAAGCACACCUCUGGACUUGGAGUCUUCCAUUUCCUUAAGGAAAAAAGCAGCACGCUGGAUGGAAACUAUCCUACUGUCCAUAUAUAUAUAUAUAUAUAAACUUCAAGUUUGCUGUUGAAAAAGAAAAAAUGAUGGAAAAAAAUGGGCUAGUUUUAAUCACUGUUGUUGCUGUUAGCCCACAGCUGCAGGCAAGGCAACAGACUGCAGAGUGGACAGGAAGAAAUGCCCAGCAAAGGCUCUGUGAAAGGAAAACAGAUGCAGAAUAACUAAGGAAUAACUUCGUUUGCCUUAUUCUGGUCAAGUUCAUUGUUCGGAGUUAAAAGCACUCAGUAUUCAAUGAUUUCUUAAUUUUUAACAAAGGAGACCCAGGGCAGUGUCACAAAUUAGAGGGCAUUCCAGGCCUUUUUUUCUGCAUAUUGUCCCCUCCACGUAAAUCGGGCUCACAUUGCUGAGCAUCAGCGAUACCCAACUCGACACAGAAGGCAGCAGAACUACAGGGCUUCCAGCCAGUUUGGGUUUUGCCCAGAAAGAAAACCAAAGCGAUCUCUCAUCUGCUACCUCUACGUGUGCCUGUUUGCUUUAGGAUGCCAAUUCUGGCACAGCAAAGUAAAUUGUUAGGGUACCUCAUAGCGGCUGGGGGCCGCACCUCACGAGCACAUCCCUAUAAAACGAGAGGCCCUCACAGAACGGAAUUGGGGUCAUGCGGGCUGCCUGCUGCCUCCUCCCAUCGGAACGCUUCCCCCAUCGGAAGGUUUCUAGAGCAGGAAAGAGAGGGGUGAUUUACAAAACAAGUCAAAACUUUCCACUGCACUUUAACUUUCUUUUUUCCUGUGGUGAAAGGCAGACAAUUUUGAUGUUUAUUAUCAGUUUUUCCUAUUGUUAUUGCACGGGCUUAAUGUAACUGCCGUGCUAUAAUAAUAUACAUCUGCUCUUUGAAAUGCACCAGUGAAUGUCAGUUAGGCAGCAUUUCUGCUUCUCAUGGUGUCAGAGUAAUUAACAUCCCUUUCUUCUAAAGUAAGCGAUGAGACGAUACAUUAAAGUCCCCGCAGAACACACCAGAUAGCAUUGAAACUGUAGAAAACACCACAGAGAUGAGGGCUGCCUUUCAGCACAACCCUUUGGAUACACGUUUAAACCCAGGGCAAAACCCCACCAGCACUGUGGGGCCUUGGGCAAGAGUGCUGGGGUGAUGUGCAGGCAGGGACAGCAGGGCAGAGGGAUGGAUGGUGCAGGGCUGCGGCCCCCUCCGGUUUUGGAGCCUGUGAGGCUCACAUGCAUGUAGGAAGAAGAGCACAGUGCCCCAAGCCCUGCCAGCAGCUCCUGGCCAGCCUUGCAGAGAACAAGUCCUGGCACUGGUGCCUCCAGCAGAGGCUCUCCCUGCGGUGAAUCACCCCCCCUGGCUCACAGCACAGCCCAGUACCCUGCCAUGUGGCGCGGGACAUGGCUUGCUGAGGCUCUGGGCAGGUGAUGCCUGGGCUGCUUCGAUUUCCUUUUGUCCUCCGAUCCAUUUGUCCACCCUUAGACGCCUGCCUUGCUAUUUUUCUUUGUACAGCACUGAGUUGCAUUAAAUGUUUACGAUCCUAUUACAGGAUACAGUUUUAGAUUACUAUAAUAAAAGGGAGUUGGUAAAACUUCAUUAUCUGUGGUGGCAGAGGAGAAUAAAAUCUUACACCUACAAGUCUGUCCAUAACAUUGCUUGGAACGACUUUCUUAAAUCCAAAGCACACACACACACACACACACACACACACACAACAGAGAAACCAAACUCGCUGUAACUGGCCCCAGUGUCACUGUAUGUCACGAUGCUGGACGUAGGCUGUAUCAAGCACAGGGAGAAAACUAAAGCUACAGUUUCCUUGCCACUGCGUGCAUUAUUUCAGGGCAAUGCCCUUUUGCUUCCUGUGCAACCGUGGUGGGAAGUACGCAGCUAUGGAAGUGUAGCAGCACAGCCUGAGCAAGGACUGACUUAUAUCCAGCUAUGGGAGUAGAGCUCUGCAUUUCCUGUGAUCUUUUCCUUUAAAAAAUAAAUUGCUGGUACUUUAAUCAUUUAUCAGAAGGAAGAGAGUGUUUGUUUCAAAGGCGCAGAAUGAAGGCUUUAAAAUUAUACUCUGCUCAUCCGUGGCUCCUGAGCAAAUGCAGGAGUAAUAAGGUUUUUAGGCUCUGCAGAGAUGCUUUAAUUCCUUUC